CUACGCCUCGCAUGCAGGGCCGGGCCUGAGGCCUGCCCCGUCCAGGGAUGUGAUUUCAGAGUCUGAGGUUUGCUGCAAAAGAGACAGCUGAAUCUAGGUUUUUAGUAAGACCCGCCUCUGGUGAAGAAGUAGGUUCCCUCCUUGUGACAGAGGGGACCCAGCAGCCUGGGGCUGUAGAAGCACCUAGUGGGACUCAGUACCCGCGGCGGGGAUGCUGCCUCCUGCCGCUGGGCUUCCCGAAGCCAUGGCCUUGACUCCGCGGAGCCGGCUCACAGUAGGUGCACAGCUAAUACCCGGAUCAAAGCUGGCCUCACACGCCGGCGCAGCGCAGGUGUUCAGCACGUGAGGGUGUAUUGAAUCCGAUCUUUAUAGCCGGGAGCGACUACGCAGGAGGCGCUGGGAGAAUGUUUGUGGAAUGAAUAAAUGAAAGCAUGCUCUGAGGGAAUAAAGAAGCAGAGACAGGAAGAAGAAUCUGGGGUAGACAGACAUGAAUCUCCGCCAAGGCCAUGCAGUCGAGGCCGCUGUGAAGACCCCGUGGAGGCAGAGGGGCCAUUUGUCACCAGCAGGGACAGGCCCUAGGGCCGGGAAGCACGGGCGCCAUGCGGUCUCGUUCAUCAUCAUCCCAUUAUUAGGGAUGGUGCCAUCUUACUCAGGACGUGGAGGACGCAUGCGAAGCGCGCUGCCCGCCAGCCCGCGGAGUGCGCGCAGGGCUGGGGCUGGGGAAGGACCCCGAGGAAGGGCAGGUCUGGGGCCCGGAAGGCCUGGUGUGGGCAGCAGGGAGGACAGGAGCCACAUUGGGCCACGUGGCCAGUCCCCGGGUAGGACUUUGGUGCCUUUAUGGCUGCAGGACCCAAAUGGGAGUGUGAUGGGACCUCUCAAAGAACUCUUCGGGUUCUGGGUGCUGAAGUUGUUUUCAUAUCUACAAGUCCCAGUGCCAUGCCUUUGCUCAAGCUGUGGCCCUGCCUGGAAUGCCUGUCCCUCCUUAUCCUUGAAGGCUCUGCUCCAGUGCUACCUCCUCCAGGAAGCCUUCCUUGAUCCACCUCUAUACAUACAACUCCAAUAUGCAGUCAGUUAUCAGUCCUCUGAUCCUUUGAUCAAUGUCUCUCCCUGCCCAGCUUUCAGGCUGCACAGAGGCAGGGACUGUUUCUGGUUUGGUCACCAUGGGACACAGAACCUAGCCCGGGGAAGGCGCCACAUGAUGCUCAUUGGCCUUGUCUUCCCUUUGCAGGUGUGCUGGACCAGGCGCUUGCCUGUGCCCAGUAUACAGACAUCCCAUGCAUGGAGCCUUUGGUUGACCCCAACCAUGAGCCAAGGGCUGGACCAGAGGAGCCUACACCAGACCUCUUGUGCCUGGAGAGACGUGCGCUGUGAGCUGGGGAGCCCAGCCUGAUCCUGGAGGAGUUCCUCGGUUCUGUGGCCAGCCUGCUCAUGGGCCAGCUCUGCUUUCUCUCUCCUCCCCUGAUCCCCUCUCCUGCUUCACCAGCCUCCAUAGUGGUCCCGGCUCCUCAGGGCACCCAUGCUCCAGCAGAGAGAUGCCCAGCGCCUGCCAGACCAGCGCCCCCUCCCGCCUCACCCAGGAGGAAGGAGAGGCCACCCGCAGCCCCACUGCUUAAAGGACCCUGACUGAGUACCGGGCCAGACCUCAGCGGGGAGGGCUGUUGGGGUCCGGGGAGAAGUACUGAGGGGAGAUAAACUCUAGUAAAAGAGCAAAUGACCCGUGCCCUUCUCCACCCACGGCGGGGCUGGGAGGUGAAGAUGUGGGUUCGAAGGAGGUCAAAUUCCUGCUCUUCUUUUUCAAACACUUUGAACAUUGUCAGGCCAUUUGAAUAAUAAAUACGCAUUAUAAAAAUCUAAGUGUGUUUGUGUGUCUGUGUGUUCCGAGAUGAUGCUCCUUAAGUGGAAGAAGGUUUGAAACAAAGGCCAUCUGCCUUCAAGAGGGAGUCUCAGAGAGAGUCACUGGCCUUUGCCCGCGGGCCCUUGGCAGGGAGCAUCUCCCCGCUCAGGGGUCCAUCCCCCCGCGGGUGAGCUCACACUCCCAGGUGGGCGCCAGGGCCACGAAAAGACCUGAAAAGACCCGCUUUCCUCUCCAUCAGAGGUCUGAUGACUCCCCAGCCCCAGCUUCCGGCCCCCCCGGGCCGCGGCCAGGGCCCCGGGGCAGAGCGGGCGCCCACGCCUCCGCUGCCAGCCUCCGCCUGGUCACGACGCAGCCGGGCUGACUCAGCCGGGCCGCGCGGAGCCGCGUCAAUUACAUAAUUA
rnacentral:lncRNA from 1 species